GAUGAACGUUGGCGGGAGGCCUAAUACAUGCAAGUCGAGCGGAAAGGCCCUUCGGGGCACUCGAGCGGCGAACGGCUGAGUAACACGUUGGUACCUACCCCGAACUCAGGGAUAACCAUUGGAAACGAUGGCUAAUACCGGAUGUCCCAGUAAUGGGAAAGAUUUAUCGGUUCGGGAGGGGCCUGCGGAGUAUCAGAUUGUUGGUAAGGUAACGGCUUACCAAGUCUAUGACGCAUAGCUGGUGUGAGAGCAUGACCAGCCAGAGUGGGACUGAGACACGGCCCACACUCCUACGGGAGGCAGCAGUAAGGAAUAUUCCACAAUGGGCGAAAGCCUGAUGGAGCCAUCCCGCGUGCAGGAAGACACUCCUUGGAGCGUAAACUGCUUUUCUGAGGGAAGAAAUUUUGACGGUACCUCAGGAAUAAGCGACGGCUAACUUCG
rnacentral:rRNA from 1 species